rnacentral:lncRNA from 1 species
GGAGUUUGUGUGGGGAAAAGGAUGGCUCUGGUCACAAGGAAACAGCAGCAGGCAACACCUGAGGAGACUUCACAGCUACUGUGGGAUAAAUUGCAGCAUGAUCAGAGAUAUGGAUCAGAUGAGCACAGAAAGCUGGUGAGGAAGACAGCAGGUGAAUAGUAAGAUACAAAAACUGGAGCAAAAAUGGGUGUUAUUAAAGUGAAUCAAAGUAACAACUGGAUUGGCAAGUACACAGGUAGAUUAUCUAUGAUUCACGAACCUGUAUUAUUUUUAAAAUGUCAUUAGGCAGGCAAUGAGUACAUGGAGAUGCUAG